AUGAAAUGGGUAUUAAUUUAUUUCCUGAUAUAAACAAUUGCGUGGGGUUGCAACCUUUACAAAUCGUUUCUGGAAAGGGCAGAAAUCGAGAGAAAUGGAAAAUGGCGCAAAGGGGAAGGUGUGUGUAACAGGAGGCACUGGAUUUAUAGCGUCAUGGCUGAUCAAGAGCCUUCUCGAGAAGGGCUACUCUGUAACCACCACUGUUAGAGCCGACCCAGAGAUGAGAAAGGACUAUGGAUUCUUGACAAGUCUACCCGGAGCAUCAGAAAAACUCCAAAUAUACCAUGCUGAUCUCGACGAACCGAAUAGUUUUGCUCCUGCCAUUGCAGGUUGCAUUGGAGUCUUUCAUCUUGCUACCCCAAUUGAUGCGAGUGACAAAGAAGGUGUGGAAGUGUUGACUAGAAGAACGAUUGAAGGAACACUGGGCAUCCUUAAAGUUUGUCUAGAUUCAAAAACGGUCAGGCGAGUUGUAUACACUUCCGCGGCAGCCACCAUGCAGUUUAAUCACCACACAGUAGACUUUUUGGAUGAAAGUUGUUGGAGUGACAUUGAUUACAUCAAUAGUAUUGCACCAUUUGGAAGAUCAUACCCGAUUUCUAAGACAUUAACUGAGCGAGCAGUUCUUGAGUUCUCUCAACAAUACGGAUUGGAAGUUGUCACUGUCCUUCCAACUUAUGUUGUUGGUCCCUUCAUUUGUCCUAGACUUCCUGACUCUAUUCGUGUGACAACGUCUUUGAUGUCAGGUAAUAAAGCAGAUUAUGGAUUGAUCUUAAAAUCAAACAUGGUGCAUGUAGAUGAUGUGGCAAGAGCACACAUUUUUCUCUUUGAACAUCCAAAUGCAAACGGGCGAUAUGUUUGCUCUUCCCACAUAAUCACAUUGGAAGAAUUGGUUAAUCUCUUUUCUGCCAAGUACCCAGAAUUUCAGAUACCAUCUUCUGAGUCUUUGAAAGAUGUCAAAGGCUACCUAUUCAGUGAUGUCUCUUCAAAGAAGCUUUUGGAUGCUGGUUUCCAAUACAAAUAUGGUAUUGAAGAAAUGUUUGAUGGAGCAAUCCAAAGCUGCAAAGAGAAGGGUUAUCUCCAUGAAACAAAUAAGUAGUAAGCAUGGAACGGUAUUAAUAAAAGCUCCUCAUGAUUGCAAAAAGAGGCCAAUAAUUUGAUGUGGACUAUUGUACGAAAUGGUAGGAGCAGCCAAUUCGGAGGAUUCAAAGCCUUGGAAGGUGUGUUCUUCGAAAUUGUAUUAUUCCUCAUUCUAUAUGUGAAAUGAAACUUUUAUUACUAGAGCGUAAAGCAACUAGAUUUCUAUGAAAUAUAGUCAUAAAUUAUUCGGGAAUGUGGUAUGUGCCAUUCUAAAUUCUGUUCCAAUAUUUUUCAUUAUUUGAAAUCGUUGUUCUAUAUACACCCUAAACUCUGUACCUGCUGCCUUUUUCAAUAUUUUCAAUUACCCGUUUGUCUU